rnacentral:rRNA from 1 species
AACGGAAAGGCCCUGCUUGCAGGGUACUCGAGUGGCGAACGGGUGAGUAACACGUGGGUGAUCUGCCCUGCACUUCGGGAUAAGCUUGGGAAACUGGGUCUAAUACCGGAUAGGACCGCACUUUAGUGUGUGUGGUGGAAAGUUUUUUCGGUGUAGGAUGAGCUCGCGGCCUAUCAGCUUGUUGGUGGGGUAAUGGCCUACCAAGGCGGCGACGGGUAGCCGGCCUGAGAGGGUGUACGGCCACAUUGGGACUGAGAUACGGCCCAGACUCCUACGGGAGGCAGCAGUGGGGAAUAUUGCACAAUGGGCGCAAGCCUGAUGCAGCGACGCCGCGUGGGGGAUGAAGGCCUUCGGGUUGUAAACUCCUUUCGCUAGGGACGAAGCUUUUUGUGACGGUACCUAGAUAAGAAGCACCGGCUAACUACGUGCCAGCAGCCGCGGCAAUACGUAGGGUGCGAGCGUUGUCCGGAAUUACUGGGCGUAAAGGGCUCGUAGGUGGUUUGUCGCGUCGUCUGUGAAAUUCUGGGGCUUAACUCCGGGCGUGCAGGCGAUACGGGCAUAACUUGAGUGCUGUAGGGGUAACUGGAAUUCCUGGUGUAGCGGUGAAAUGCGCAGAUAUCAGGAGGAACACCGAUGGCGAAGGCAGGUUACUGGGCAGUUACUGACGCUGAGGAGCGAAAGCAUGGGUAGCGAACAGGAUUAGAUACCCUGGU